GAUGAACGCUAGCUACAGGCUUAACACAUGCAAGUCGAGGGGCAGCGGGAUUGAAGCUUGCUUCAAUUGCCGGCGACCGGCGCACGGGUGAGUAACGCGUAUCCAACCUUCCGUACACUCAGGGAUAGCCUUUCGAAAGAAAGAUUAAUACCUGAUGGUAUGAUGAGAUUGCAUGAUAGCAUCAUUAAAGAUUUAUCGGUGUACGAUGGGGAUGCGUUCCAUUAGGUAGUAGGCGGGGUAACGGCCCACCUAGCCGACGAUGGAUAGGGGUUCUGAGAGGAAGGUCCCCCACAUUGGAACUGAGACACGGUUCCAAACUCCUACGGGAGGCAGCAGUGAGGAAUAUUGGUCAAUGGACGAGAGUCUGAACCAGCCAAGUGCGUGAAGGAUGAAGGUCCUAGGAUUGUAAACUUCUUUUANAAGGGAUAAACCCUCCA
rnacentral:rRNA from 1 species